AUUAUACUCCCUUCGUCCCAAAAUAAGUGACUCAAAUUUGCACUAACUUUAGUACAAAGUUGAGUUAUUUUUGAGUCACUUAUUUUGGGACGGAGGAAGUAUUAA
rnacentral:pre_miRNA from 1 species